CCUACGGGCGGCAGCAGUGAGGAAUAUUGGUCAAUGGACGAGAGUCUGAACCAGCCAAGUAGCGUGAAGGAUGACUGCCCUAUGGGUUGUAAACUUCUUUUAUAAAGGAAUAAAACGAGGCACGUGUGCCUUUUUGCAUGUACUUUAUGAAUAAGGAUCGGCUAACUCCGUGCCAGCAGCCGCGGUAAUACGGAGGAUCCGAGCGUUAUCCGGAUUUAUUGGGUUUAAAGGGAGCGUAGAUGGGUUGUUAAGUCAGUUGUGAAAGUUUGCGGCUCAACCGUAAAAUUGCAAUUGAUACUGGCAGUCGUGAGUACAGUUGAGGUAGGCGGAAUUCGUGGUGUAGCGGUGAAAUGCUUAGAUAUCACGAAGAACCCCGAUUGCGAAGGCAGCUUACUAAACUGUGACUGACAUUGAUGCUCGAAAGUGUGGGUAUCAAACAGGAUUAGAUACCCAGUAGUC
rnacentral:rRNA from 1 species